CCCAGAGUUUGAUUCAUGGUUCAGGGACGAACGCUGGCGGCGUGCCUAAUACAUGCAAGUCGAGCGGGACAGAUGGGAGCUUGCUCCCUGAUGUUAGCGGCGGACGGGUGAGUAACACGUGGGUAACCUGCCUGUAAGACUGGGAUAACUCCGGGAAACCGGGGCUAAUACCGGAUGGUUGUUUGAACCGCAUGGUUCAAACAUAAAAGGUGGCUUCGGCUACCACUUACAGAUGGACCCGCGGCGCAUUAGCUAGUUGGUGAGGUAAUGGCUCACCAAGGCAACGAUGCGUAGCCGACCUGAGAGGGUGAUCGGCCACACUGGGACUGAGACACGGCCCAGACUCCUACGGGAGGCAGCAGUAGGGAAUCUUCCGCAAUGGACGAAAGUCUGACGGAGCAACGCCGCGUGAGUGAUGAAGGUUUUCGGAUCGUAAAGCUCUGUUGUUAGGGAAGAACAAGUACCGUUCGAAUAGGGCGGUACCUUGACGGUACCUAACCAGAAAGCCACGGCUAACUACGUGCCAGCAGCCGCGGUAAUACGUAGGUGGCAAGCGUUGUCCGGAAUUAUUGGGCGUAAAGGGCUCGCAGGCGGUUUCUUAAGUCUGAUGUGAAAGCCCCCGGCUCAACCGGGGAGGGUCAUUGGAAACUGGGGAACUUGAGUGCAGAAGAGGAGAGUGGAAUUCCACGUGUAGCGGUGAAAUGCGUAGAGAUGUGGAGGAACACCAGUGGCGAAGGCGACUCUCUGGUCUGUAACUGACGCUGAGGAGCGAAAGCGUGGGGAGCGAACAGGAUUAGAUACCCUGGUAGUCCACGCCGUAAACGAUGAGUGCUAAGUGUUAGGGGGUUUCUCGCCCCUUAGUGCUGCAGCUAACGCAUUAAGCAACUCCGUCCCUCGGGGAG
rnacentral:rRNA from 2 species